CACACACUCAAUGACAAACAUACAGACAUCUCUGACAGCCAGACUCACUUAUCUGACACACUCAUUCAUUGACAGACACUCACACGCACACUGACAGACUCAUUGAAAAACACACACUGACACACACACACACACAAACUCACAGACACUGACAGACACACGUACUCACAUGCGCACAUGCACAUACUGACAGACACACAUACUCACACACACACUGACAGAACCACACAUACACACACACAUACUGACAGACACACAUACUCACACACACACUGACAGACAUA